CCUACGGGAGGCAGCAGUAGGGAAUAUUGCUCAAUGGGGGAAACCCUGAAGCAGCAACGCCGCGUGGAGGAUGAAGGUUUUAGGAUUGUAAACCCCUUUUGUGAGAGAAGAUAAUGACGGUAUCCCUCGAAUAAGCACCGGCUAACUCCGUGCCAGCAGCCGCGGCAAUACGGAGGGUGCAAGCGUUACUCGGAAUCACUGGGCGUAAAGAGUGCGCAGGCGGGCUUGUAAGUCAGAUGUGAAAUCCUGUAGUUUAACUACAGAACUGCAUUUGAAACUAUGAGUCUAGAGUGUGGGAGAGGUAGGUGGAAUGCAUGGUGUAGGGGUAAAAUGCGUAGAUAUCAAGAGGAAUACUCAUUGCGAAGGCGGCCUACUGGAACAUUACUGACGCUCAUGCACGAAAGCGUGGGGAGCAAACAGGAUUAGAUACCCGAGUAGUC
rnacentral:rRNA from 1 species